UAGUCCACACCGUAAACGCUGUCUACUAGCUGUUUGUGGCUUUAAGCCGUGAGUAGCGAAGCUAACGCGAUAAGUAGACCGCCUGGGGAGUACGGCCGCAAGGUUAAAACUCAAAUGAAUUGACGGGGGCCCGCACAAGCGGUGGAGCAUGUGGUUUAAUUCGAUGCAACGCGAAGAACCUUACCUACACUUGACAUGUUGAGAAGUUACCAGAGAUGGUUUCGUGCCUUCGGGAACUCAAACACAGGUGCUGCAUGGCUGUCGUCAGCUCGUGUCGUGAGAUGUUGGGUUAAGUCCCGCAACGAGCGCAACCCUUGUCCUUAGUUGCCAGCAUUCAGUUGGGCACUCUAAGGAGACUGCCGGUGACAAACCGGGNGGAAGGUGGGGACGACGUCAAGUCAUCAUGGCCCUUACGUGUAGGGGCUACACACGUGCUACAAUGGGCAUAUACAGAGGGGAUGCGAGACAGUGAUGUGGGAGC
rnacentral:rRNA from 1 species